rnacentral:lncRNA from 1 species
AACAGGAGGAGGAGUCGUUGACAUUGGCAUGCUCGAAGGUGUCCUUCCAGCUGCUGUAUUUCUCUCCAUCUGCAUUGCAUUCCAUUGCAAUCAUAACAAUACAAGUAGUUCAUAAGCCAACACUUUGUUUGUUAUAAUAGGCAUUACACAAAAACAAAUUAUUUAGGUGGGUACCAACCAACCUGUGCUAAUCCAUAUCUUAUAUAUGUCCGGAAUGCCUCACUCGCAUUCUGUAGCUAUGAAAAUAUAUCAACCUGAAAGACCCAAUGUUAAAUGUCAAUAUUCAAUAAUAUCCCUGCCUCCUUGCACACUGAAAUUGUCCCCAAACCUCAGUUCUAGUGGAGCAACACCUUGUUUGCACGACAGAGAGCAAGGAGGUAUCAAUUCUUAAGGUUUGUCCUGUGCAAUUUAAACUACCCUUGAGCCCCCUUCCCCCACUCCCGCAUGCAUAGAGAAGAAACAAAGUUCCAUUUCAGAAGACAAAAGCCCUCAUUGGAGACAUACAUUUGUUCUUCUUUUUGUUCCUCGUGAAUCAGUCACUAAGGCCAUGAUGCAAGUACGGGUACAACUGUGUGAUCCCGUAAAGCUCAUACAAGCCAAUGGUGCAUGUCUGCUUGUCACUGAUUUUCUUGAAAACCGCAGCAAGCUCUUGUUGUACUCAUGUAAAGAACAAAAAGAUGCUGGGUAAGGAAGAUCGGAGACAAAUGACUUUAUUUCCAGUAUAAGUUCCAAAGUUGAGAUGGCACCUUCAAUUGUGCAUCUGUCGAAUGUGUAGCAGGUGAUGGCCCAUUGUAAACAGAGUCACCCCACUGUGUUUGGCCAAUAGGCCCUGAUGGUGUCAGCAUUCUAGCAGCUGCAAGAGUCUGUACAAAGAAAAGAAAAUCGGCUUAAAGAUCCUGAAUUCACAUCAUAAUGUUAUAGCCUAAGAGGCAAGAUAUGGAUGGUGGCGCCAAUAAAGUUUAUUAAUAGAUACAAAAUCUUUACCUGGAGAUUAAGGUUGAUGUGUGCCAGUAUAAUUGGCUGAGGUUCCAAGUCUAUAGGAACCAUGGAGAGGUGACCCGUUAUUGCAGUUCCGCGAAGCUUAACAAGCUCAUGUACAACAGUUUUAACCAUGCGCACUUAUGAUAUCGCAGUGCUACCCAAAAAUAACUAACCACUUUGCUAAGCCAAAUCUGUGUGUGCGUGUGAGAGAGAGAGAGGACACCCUUGCAUGGGAAGCUAAAAGGUGGAUAUAAUUUGAAUAAAAAAUACCUUCCAUGGAUAUAUCUGGCACUUUCAUCUUCCAAAUGAAAAUUUAAUUGUUAACUAACUAUAAAUGCAACUGAAGUUAAAUAAACAUUUAAGGAAGGUCCGAAUGUGUAGACUGUUUAGUAGGCAUUGCAACAAGUAAGUGAUUCUCAAGCAAUAUGUUAUAAGGGGCAUAUUUUAGUCCACAUAAGCCUCCCAAUAUCCAUGAUAUCUUUACACAUGAACCCUAACUUUGCUCUCUCUCUACAGGUUUCAUAAUUGUCACAAUCUUUCAACUCCUUGCUGUCCGCCAUCAUCACUGCCAAAAUAAACAAAGAACAGGAGAAAAGAUAUAUAAAUCAUUAUCAAGAAUAAUGUAAACACCAACAUUCUAAAUAAAUGAUGGGCUACAAGACUUGGAUGCAUCCAAGGUUCUGGGCUCGUGUAGACACUAAGAAUGUGACACACAUGUCUAACACUAUAGAAACUAAGAUACUUUAAUCGCUUAAAAUCCCACCUCCCCACCCCUCUAAUAUAUCUAUGAAUAUGUUGUAUCUAGAAGGGGCUAAGUUGCAUUUCUGACAUGUAUAUUGGUGUAUGGCACUGACACUCAUACCCAUAUCCUUGUAACACAGGUGAUGGAGCUUUCUUAUUUCUUAAAACAAAUGAAAGAGCACCUUGAUAUUUUUCAAGAAACAGAAAUAUUUGUUGAGGGAAAGUAAUUUAUUUGGAAGAAAGCAUAGACCUAUAUUGGGCAUCUUACAAAUGGUUUUGUGAAGAUCUCAUUGCUUAAAAUAAGAACUAUAGCUGCUUCAUGAAACAGAGAGAAGCAACACUCUUGUAGUGAUGUUCUUCAGAAUCCACAGUUAACAUGUUAGGCAAGUGCCAUUACUUGAAUUAUGCAAAACAAGAUAGAAAAUCUAGGAGUGUAGCAGUGCUAGUAUUAGGUAUUCUACUCUAACAGGAAAUUGUGAUUGUUGUAUUUCAAAAACCAUGCAACAACUAGUUUUCAAAUCAGGAACUAUGCUCUCACAGGAUAUUUAGCUGUUUCAAACCCAUCCUAAGAAAGCAGGCCACCUAGUCAUUUUCUAAAACUACAAGUGGCAACCAAGAGUUUUUCAAUAAUAUAAAGCAGCAAAUUAGAAAUUUAAACUCAUUUUCACGAAGAAAGAGUAAUAAAUUACCAUGUUUUUACAAGUAAGCUCUGAUCAAUUGCUUCUGAGAACUCAAAUUGGUGGUCUGCAUCUACUGCCCAGCUGGUGAACCAUGUAAUUGCAUGGAAAUCUUCUUUGGAUAUCCCCAUAUUGUAUAGAAAUCCUACAUCUAUGUUAGAACAAUGAAGAAAGUAACACUUUGAAGAAGCUUCUUCCAAAAACUGGCCAUGAUUUUAUUUGAUGGUCACUAAUUUUCUCUGAAAGCAAAUGGGUACAGCUAGCAGUUGGACGAAUAUUGACUCCCAAAAUUCAUAUCCUUUUUCUUAUAUAUUCCAGCCAAUUGCCCAAAAGAACAGGGUUCCUAAAUGAACUAUCUUCACAAAAUAAUGCAAGAAAUAAAUGAAUCUAUUAAAAAAAUAUAAAAAAAAAGAAGGAAAAACCAGCCAUGAAAUGAAGCAAUUCAUUCCUACAGGGAACUUAAAAUUCUGGAUCGUUUCACAUGAACUAUGAACUAUGCAUAUUUCACAUUUUCUGUGAACUGUGCACAAUAAAUUAUGUAUAAUUUAAUAGUGCUCUAAAUGAACAUUCAGAUAUUUCCAUAUUACAUGUCCAUGCAUGUGUUUGUGUGAGCAAUGAUCCUAUGAUUUCAUAGAUUGCUAAUUCUCUAUGUAUCUUUCACAGGAUAUAUACAACAGAUACAAGAACCAGGUUGUAAAGGAUCAAAGGUAUUUGUAUACUAACGAAUAGGGGAUUACUCAUGUAAGAUUUCCAUUGGCAAAGAUGAUGACAACAUGUUACAAAGGAAACACCUCUCAGGUUGCAAUUGCCUCGUGGUCCAUUAUGUUGCUGAGUGGCAGCACCUUAAGGUAAAGUCUGCUAGCACAAUUUAAAUAUGAAAUAAAAAAUGCAGUGAAUUACCAAAGCUAGUAAUGCUGACAAAGUUAUCUUCACAUGCAUUCCCUAGUUAAUUAUUGGGUGACAAACUGAAUUUACCAACCUGUGGCAGGACCACAUAAAUGUUUCCCAAUUGCCUAAGAAACACCCCUAAAAGUCUACACGUUAUUCAAGUCCAAAUCAUCAACUGCAAUAGUUAAGUUAUACAUUAGAUGCGCAAGGGGGAUGUAAACUGACAGUAUUCAAUAAAUACAUCUAUACAUGUAAUGCUAAAUAUUGUCUGCUUGUCAUGUUAAAUGUGGCAGAAAACCAAAUGAGCUCCCAUUGAAAAUAGCCUUCAUUAGUUUAAUAGUGAUUAUGUAUGGAACUCAAGGCCCUUGCAAGGUCCCCUGAGUGUCUUCCCAACAUCCAACAUGGGGGAAUACACUUCACUGACAUAUACAAAUGUAUCAUGUACAAAACAAAACUAGGAAUCAAUUGGGCUAGUAGGAUUUUUAUUUUCGCCUGGAGACUAAACUAGUGUUUGAAUAUUUUUGAGCCCACUAAAUCUCUUGAGGUGUCUUCCCAACACGCAUGGCAUGAAGCCAAUGCUAACGGGGAUAGCCUCACCAAAGAGGGGGCUUUGCAAACAAAUCUUGUAACCUUGGUCUAGUGGGCAGUCCCUUUUUGUUUUUUUUUUGUACAAUUUUGUCUCUGUUCUUUAUUAAUUAACUGUAUAAGAGUUCUGGUUUUACACUUGUUAUAAGUAAUCCAAAAGAGUAAAUAAAGAAAAAAAGAAGUCUUUGCUUUCCUUGUGGAACUUGCAUAAUAGCUACAGUUGACUUUAUCAUUUGACUGUUGUUCAUGAAAAUGGGAAUGGAUUUUGAAAUAGUAUUAAUUUCUGGAAGUAUAUCUUAGGUUUUGUAAAGAAAUGUUGAGUUUACUUCUGGGAAUAAUCGAGGGAAAAAGGAAAGCAAAGCAAAGCCCUCUAACAUAGUUUGGAAGUAAAAAGAUGCAUUUUAUCUGUUAGCAAAAUGACUAGAACUCCUUGAAUAUUUUGAGGCCCUCAUUUCUAUUAGGCAAGCAUUAAAAUAAUUAGUUUGUGUAUUUUCUUUAUCGGUGGAUGGAGGCUGCAAUGAUUAUCUAUAUGGCCAGUAAUUUCCAAGAUGCUUUUUUUUUUUUCUCUAAACAGCUUUUCCUAGAUAUAUUUGACACUCAAGUUAUCCUUGAUUCCGUUAUAGGUAUCUAUACUUUGUUAGCUGUCCAACUUCAUAUACCUCCUUAUGAAGAGUAUUUUCGUUCACUACAUUUUGAUAUACCACAACAUUUGUGUUGUUUUCUUAUCUUUCAAAUUAUCUUUAUUUGCAAAUGAUAUUCUUCAUGAGCAUUGUAUGCUAGAAACAUGCCAUGUUCAUAUUUUGCCUCUUUCUUUUCUGCAACCUUAAUCAAAGUCCUUUUAUGGUGUAUCUGCAGUGUCCUAUUCAGUACCCAUUCUUGGCUUUUUUCAGGGGAGAGAAAAGGCAAAAGGAUAAAUGAAUGAAGAAUUGUUUAGAGAUGUACAAGUUGGAGAGUACUACAUGCACUAGUACAGUGAAAGCAUCCGCCAAAAUAGGAAGGAUAAACAAAAUCACCAACGCCGCACUUGCUUUUCCUGUGGUUUAUGUCUUCUCUUUUUUUUUCCUUGUAAUUGUAGAUGUGAUAUUUUAUGUUAUUAAGCAUUGUUAAACUGGUAGAGUUGCAUAUUCUUUUCUUUUUUAUUUUGUUAAAAACAAUUGUGGAUGUCGUGGUGAAGACUCUCUCUCUCUCUC